UACAUGCAAGUCGAAACGGUCUUUCUAUGGAAGCUUGCUUCCACUGAGAAGAUAGUGGCGAACGGGUGAGUAACACGUGGGAACCUGCCCAUAAGAGGGGGAUAACAUCCGGAAACGGGUGCUAAUACCGCAUAGUUUUCUUGAUCGCAUGAUCGGGAAAGGAAAGACGGCCUUUGUGCUGUCGCUUAUGGAUGGACCCGCGGCGUAUUAGUUAGUUGGUGAGGUAACGGCUCACCAGACGAUGAUACGUAGCCGACCUGAGAGGGUGAUCGGCCACAUUGGGACUGAGACACGGCCCAAACUCCUACGGGAGGCAGCAGUAGGGAAUCUUCCGCAAUGGACGAAAGUCUGACGGAGCAACGCCGCGUGAGUGAAGAAAAGGUUUUCGGAUCGUAAAACUCUGUUGUCAGAGAAGAACAAGUUGGAGAGUAACUGCUCCAGCCUUGACGGUAUCUGACCAGAAAGCCACGGCUAACUACGUGCCAGCCGCAGC
rnacentral:rRNA from 1 species